rnacentral:tRNA from 1 species
GGGGAUUUAACUCAGUGGUAGAGUGCUUGCCUAGCACGCGCAAGGCCCUGGGUUCAGUCCCCA